CUAUUUCAUAUAAUUAUCAUCUAUAGAACACUAGUCAAAUCCUUCUUCUUCUUCUUCUUCUUCUUUUUUUAAAUUUUCUCCCAAGUCCACCAUCUUUCCACUAUUUCCACAUUCACCCCCAUUCCUCCUCCUCCUCCUCCUCCUCCUCCUCCUCCAUUUCUAUUUUCCAACCCAAUAUUCACAUUGAACUUUAACAAGACAAUAAUGAAAGCCCCUCCUAACGCCAUGGGAGCUCUCGUUUGAAAACUACAUUUAUCAUCAUAUCUCUGUAUUCAAAUUAGAGAGAAAAGGGUAAUUUUUAUCAAGUAAAAAAAGAAAAAGAAAGAUUUUUUUUCCUUUUUUUUCUUUUUCAAUAUUCGAUAAUAAGGCCUCCCAUUGGAGCUCUGUGAGGAAUUCCCUUCCUUCGUUUAGCUGUUCUGUAACUAACCAGCGUUGGCGGUGGCGUCGACGGUGUAAAACUCUGCACGACUCUGUUCUUAUUGCUGUUCUUCAUUAUUCUUCCUUGACUGCUAUUACUACUGUACGAUGAAUCCUCUGAAUCCGAUCCCAUCACUCUUCGUUUCUUCUCAUAGUUCUUUGAUGUUCCAACAAUCUACAACAAAACC
rnacentral:lncRNA from 1 species